rnacentral:rRNA from 1 species
AUUGAACGCUGGCGGAAUGCUUUACACAUGCAAGUCGAACGGCAGCACGGGGGCAGCCCUGGUGGCGAGUGGCGAACGGGUGAGUAAUACAUCGGAACGUGCCCGGUCGUGGGGGAUAACGUAGCGAAAGUUACGCUAAUACCGCAUACGAUCUGAGGAUGAAAGCGGGGGACCUUCGGGCCUCGCGCGAUCGGAGCGGCCGAUGUCAGAUUAGGUAGUUGGUGGGGUAAAGGCCUACCAAGCCGACGAUCUGUAGCUGGUCUGAGAGGACGACCAGCCACACUGGGACCGAGACACGGCCCAGACUCCUACGGGAGGCAGCAGUGGGGAAUUUUGGACAAUGGGCGCAAGCCUGAUCCAGCCAUUCCGCGUGCAGGACGAAGGCCUUCGGGUCGUAAACUGCUUUUGUACGGAACGAAAAGGCUCUGGCUAAUACCUGGGGCUCAUGACGGUACCGUAAGAAUAAGCACCGGCUAACUACGUG